rnacentral:rRNA from 1 species
CUGAUGCAGCAACGCCGCGUGAGUGAUGAAGGCCUUCGGGUUGUAAAGCCCUUUCGGCCGGGACGAUAGUGCCGGUACCCACAGACGAAGCGCCGGCUAAAUUCGUGCCAGCAGCCCCGGUAAUACCUCGGGGGCUAGCGUUGCUCGGAAUUAUUGGGCGUAAAGGGUGCGCAGAAUGUUUGCGCAGUCGGGGCGGAAAUCCCGGUGCUCAACUCCGGAGCUGCCUUCGAAACUUCCUCGCUAGAGUGCCGCAAAAGAGUGUGGAACUGCAGGUGUAGAGGUGAAAUGCGUAGUUCUUGUGUAGAGAUCAAUUGCGGAAAUCUCGUCACUAACACGUGUCUGAAGCUGACUUCUGAAGCCGUGGCUGACAAUUAGAUUAGAUACCCUGGUAGUCCACCCCGUAAACCAUCGCUGUUAGCCGUCGCUAUAAUUGGU